rnacentral:lncRNA from 1 species
AUGACAUCUCCUCACACGAAGAAACCGAAGCUCAGAGAGGUUCAGGGCCUUGCUCCACGUCUCAGAGCUGGAUGCGUCGGCAGAGUCCGUGUCGGGGUCAUGACCAGGCUCCUGCGGGCGGCGGUGGGGAGAUGGGUGAGGAGGACAGACAUCGGGGGCGGCCUUCUGGCCAGUUGUGCCUGUCUGGGGACUAGAAGAUUCUGUCGGGAGGCUGGUUCUCUCCAUCCAGCAGAGUGACCAGGGACCUCGCUUUGCCGCCUCCCAAUACGAGAGCCCAGGGCCAAUGACCAGACUCCCCUGCGUCCCAUUUCCUGACCUGUCAAAUGGGGAGACAACCUCCCUUGUUACAGCUCAAGGUUCCUGUGAGACCAAGAGGCAAGCCCCAAAGCACUUAAAAAACCCCAAUUCUUUUUUUUCUUUCUUUUUUCUAUGCACCUGUGGCACAUGGAGGUUCCCAGGCUAGGGGUCUAACUGGAGCUACAGCUGCUGGCCUACGCCACAGCCAUGGCCACGCCAGAUCCCAGCCACAUCUGCGACCUUCACCACAGCUCAUGGCAAUGCCAGAUCCUUAACCCACUGAGCGAGGCCAGGCAUUGAACCCGUAUCCUUACGGAUACUAGUUGGGUUCUUAACCCACUGGGCCACAAUGGGAACUCCAGGGAAUUCCUAUUUCUUUUUUUGACACGUAGACGUUUUAGCUUUUGAAGUAGUCAAUCGAUUCGUCUUUUUGUGGCCCUUUCCCGCCUCUUCAAGAUAAAUCACCCAGGGUUGCUUCACGUUAAAGAAAAACAAAACCCCAUCUCGUGUGCACCUGGGAUUUACUUUGGAGGAAGGAGUGAUGUCAGGAGGGAACCAUCAUCCCCAGUUGCCACGACCCCAUUUAUUGAACUUUUUUUCUGAUUUGAAUCAUCAUCUUUACUUUCUAAAUUCCCCUACGAUCACUAUGAAGCUGUUCCCUGCAUUGAAGAUCAGAAAAUCCAACCUAAGUGUCUUCAAGAACUUUAAGGAAAGUGUUAGCGCCUGUGACAGGGGCCUGGGGCAGAGCAAGCUGACUUAGCAACUUGUGACACUUGUCUCUCGGCUCUGCCAUCUGCUGCACCGAUGUCGUCGUGACUACAAGACAGCCCAGGAACAAGAGAGGUGUCCUUGUCCUUACCUGGGGCUUCAAGAACGCGUCACAGAACCCCCCAGUGUCCCGUCCCGUUGAGGUAGGACCUAUAAUCCUCCACCCUGUAGA